GUGAGGCUGCAGUGGGUCUGCUACGGGCGUUGGUCCGAAAAGAGAAGAAAGAGGUAUGAGAACAAUGUACCACCUGGCAGCCCAGCCAGGGCCUGACCUGAGAGUCAGCGGAGGGGCCUGGUCUCAUCCUCCCUGCACCCCGGCAGUGUGCCAGGCCCUGGGAGGCCUCCUGCCCUGGAGCCUGAGUCUGCCAGGCCAGUUUAUUGAUGGACAAGGUUGGCUGGACUGUCGAGGCGUCAGAAUUCGUGUCCCCAUCUAGGACACCCCCUCCUGGUGUGGAGAUAUGAGGAGUGGAUGGGGUCAUGAGCGGUGCCUUUGAGGAGAGGGCAGUGAAAUGGUUCGGGAUGGUUUGGGGCUCAUUUCCCCGGAGGGCAGAAGAACUAGGCUGCAGUCUUCCCCUGCACCCGCCGCAGCAAGCUCCCUUCCGCCGGGCCCAACGUCUCUCCAGCCUGAUCCGGCCUUGCGGAUUCCGCUACCUUUGCGCCAACAGCUCCUAAGGUGCUGUGUUAUACCAGCCACGCACCCAGCACGUUUGCCUUCAGUCCCGUGGAAGAGCCUUUCCCGCAUGAUCCCCUCUGCCGGCACGGCCCUUAGAGCCAGGGGCCUGGCACAGCAGAAGCAGAGAAAGUGCGUCCCCCUCCCCCACUCCAUGGGACAGUGAUGAUAAGGGCACAGAGCGGUCCUGGGCCUGUCGUGUUCCCAGGCCAACCCUCAGAGUACAGUACUCCUUCAGGUCCAUUGUGAUCAGAAGUUCGCCGAAGUGCCUAGCUGGAUAGAGACUGACUUCCCAGUGUCAUAUGUGCUCUGAAGAGUCUGCUUCUUGGGGAGCAGAGGGUGUAAGUGAGCGAGCCAGAGCCUGCAUGGGGAGUCAGGAGGCGCGGGCUCCUGUGAGGCUGGACACUCGCUGAGGGGACGAGAUGGUCUGAGCUCACGCUAAGGUGACCAACUGUCACCGUUUGCUCGGGACUGAGGGGAUCCCUGGGAUGUGGGACUUUUAGUGCUAAAAUGAGCAUAGUUCUGGGGAAAUCGAGAUGAUUGGUCACUCAAACUCAUAUGCCAAAGUAUUCAAUAAGGAUGUUGUUUUUAACCGGAAAACAAGAAGGAACAGCUCUGUGGUUUUUCAAAGUGCUGAGAAGAAAGCUCCUAGCUGUAUCUCAAAAGUCAAGUUUCUGAGACAAUAAGAAAGUUGCAGUGGGAGGAAAUUUGAGCCAGAAGACCUGAAGUCCCAUUUAUGGACUUUGUACUGUGUUACUUAGGAAAUCAUUCUAACCUCUCUGACCCUUGGUUCGCUUACCUGAGAAAUGGAGAUGAUAGCCCAGCCUGUCUUACUCACAUAGGUUGUGGCUGCCAUCAAGGGACAUAAUGAAAUUGGAAAGUUUAUGCAUUAUGCAUUACGCAUUUGGAAAGUUAUGCAUUUAUGCUCACCACGUUACUACAGGAUGACUAAGACCUGCUGCCAACAACCAUCAUGGCAGACAGUAAGUUCAGGUCAUCUUGAUGAAUAAGGGGGAGGUCAGCCCCACGGGGAAACACAACAUCUCCAUACAUACCUCUAAUACGAUGUGGAAAGAGUCAUAGGAUCCUGUCAACUGAAUAGACCAACCCAGGUUCAGCCAGCAUUUGAGAAUGCAUCAAUUCCUUCUGAGGUCUCCAAGAGUCAAGAUUUGUCCCUAGAAACUCAGAGGAAAGUAUAUAUUGAUGAUAAUGAAAUAUCCAAGACAUUAGAACUCUUAUAUCCCAAGAAUCUGUAAUGACUUGCUCGUCUCUCCCUCUGCCUCCCGCUAACAUUGCUCCUGUGACCUGGGUAAGCUGCCUGGAAACCUAGACUCUGAUGUCCCCUGAGCCCACAUCCCUCCCUUCAGAGCAUAGAGGCCGUAUUUCUUACUUCAGUCUCAUGCAUCAGCUGUGUUUCCUUGUGUUAACGUCUGCUGUGGUCUCAACUCAGGUCAAGACUUGGCUCUGGACCCGGCCUCUCCCAUCUGCCUUUUCCACAAUUAAAUCUAUGGAUGUGGGACCUUGGAAGCUGGGGCCACAGGACUGGGGCUCCAACAGAUUUCUGUGUACUCGAGUCUCCUCUUUUGAGGGGUCCAGGGUUUGGCUGCUGAAGGACGUACAGAGAGAAGUUUUCCAUGACUCUUCUGCAGUACAUUGUGGAGCUUCCAGAUUAGUGGUUCUCAAACUUCAGCACGCGGAAGAACGCCCUAAAGUGCCUGUUAAAAUGCAGUUUCUGGGCCCUGUCUCCCAGAGUUCCUGAUUCAGUACAUCACAAGAAUCCGGGCUUUUCAAUAAGCUGCUGGGCUGCUUCUGAGACAUGCGCUCUGGGAGGGAAUUGAGGCUCAGAGAAGUUAUGGGACCUGCUCAAGGUCACAGAGUGAAUAAGUGAUGACACCAGGACCGAACUGGCUGCUCUGGCUCCUGAUAUCACACUCUUUUCAAUACCUUCAACGGCCUCUCUAGAGAAGACAGCUGCACAGCUGAUACUGGAACCAGGAGACCCUGAUUGUUGGGGAAGGAAAUGGUUUUUCCAGGCCCAUGGACACCUCUGCUCCCAAGAUUUAAGAUCCACUGUGACAGUUUGCUAGACAUGCCCAUCACAUCACCUCCCAAGCAGGGGAAAAUGAAAAGGAGCCAGCUCCAGAUGGUUCCUUUAGGACUUUCUAGAUAAAAAAAGGACAGAUGGCAACUUAAUUUAAAAGAAAUGGAGGAAAAAAUGGGAGAUAACAGUGACAAAUGGACAUGGAUGUGUUCCUACAGACAUGACCUUCUGGCUGCGUACUUGCCUCUUGUCACAGCUCUUUCUGUGUCUAGCACCUUUGUCUCACCCCUCGGGGCACCUGGGGAGGUGAGGUGGUGAGCACCGACAGUUGCUGGAAUUUAUGGGACCAGCGCAGCCCCUCUUCCCACCCUCGUGGUAGGAAGGGGAAGCAUGAUCCAUUUCCUCCCGGGUAAACAGUUUCACAGGAAGCAUUUAUCAAAUGUCACAGGGGCAGUGGCGGGGUCUGGGAUCAGUCAGACAGGAUCUGCGCCUCUCCGACUCUCCCAGGCAAAGGCUAUGGGUUUUCUCCUGCACAGUCCCACCCUCUCUGUCUCGUCUCCCAUCUUCUCCCAACCCGCUGAGCCAAGGGAGAAGAGGACAGACCUGGAGCCCUCCAAGUCCACUCCACCCCUUGGAGUAAACAGAGUUUCUGUCAGGCUGGGCACCUAUAAUAUAGCUGAAUGCCAAGAUCCUUCCAGAAGAAAAGCUGAUAAGGAAAUGUCUGGAAAAGCCUCCAGCAAAUACAGCUCCAUUACUCCUCAUGGCUGGACUUCGACUCUGAAACCAUCCCCCCUACUCUGAGGGGAACCUGAGACUCAUACUUGACUCUUCUUAGGCUGGGGAAGGUUGGCCAUGCAGGACGGCUGCUUUAGGGUUCUCUCCUGCAUUUUCAGGCUCCAGCCCCCUUGUACCAAAGCCAAGGAAAGAAGCCUUCCCUCACCUCGCCUGCUUUGCCCUCACAGGGCCCACAACUUGGCGUCUUUUCUUUGAUGAGAAGCAGUGUGAAGUGGUAGUUAAGCCAGAGGCGUUUCAAUCUCAACUCUGCUGGCUGUGAACUGCAUGACCUUAGGCGAGUUACUGCACCUUCCUGGGCCCAGCUUCCUCGUUAAGCGUAAUGGAAGAUGCCAAGAGGAAGAUGAAAGACUACAGCCCAGCAGCCCCUGGCGGACGAGGACAUAACCAACUGCAACUGAAUCAAAGACAGAAAGAGGAGAGACUCCAGAAGAGCCGGAAAGUGGCAGUCCUUCGGGCAAAGAAGAGGAUGUUUCCAGCUGGGGGUCUGAAGAAAGGCUUGGAAUGGCUUCACGGAGGAGGUGGCAUUUGGGCUGUGCUUCGAAGAAGGGAGAGGAUUUGGGCUUGUUUCCAGAUUCCACGAAGCCGCUGGCUUAUAGAACAGCAGUCUUUCAUCUGGCACCGAGGAGAGAGAGUAUAGAGGGAGAACAGAGGCUAGAGUGCUCCUGUCUGGUGCUUUUUACUUCCAAUGGAGCAUGUGGGGGCAGCAAGGUGAGGAGGUCUCCUCGGUGGCCUGCAGCUGCACGAACUCUUUAAAUGCUUCUGAAGCACAAAGAGGGGCUGCUUCCUUCUUAGGACAUGGGCUGGAGAGGAGGUCCCUCCGUCUCCUGCUCUCACUCAAGCCACUCUUACCCAAGUUCCUUCUCACACCGUGACAUGCCUGUCAGGUUUCUCACAAUGUGGCCUGGGCUCAGACAGCUAAUUCAGUUCUGGUCGACUGGGUGUGACCUGCCACCUCUGGGAACUACCACGGUCUCGGCCUCCCCAGCUAGAAUCAGGUGUCCUCUGUGGCCUCCCUCUCUCUGAGGGCAUGGGCUUGCUGGGCCUAUGUGGUUCUUCUGCGAGAUUCUUUGUCUCAGAGGUACCUCCUCACAGGGGGCCGGAGGACCCUCCCGCAGCCUUUGGGCUGCAUGGCACUCAAGGGCUCUUAUUUGCACGAGGAUUAGGAAAAUGUUGCAUUUUCAGGGAGCCCUGAGAGGGACUGGGAAUCUUCAUCAGAUCUGGAGGCAGCUCAGGAACCAGAGCAAGGGUUUGGGCAGAAAUUGCUCAGGGCAAGAUACAGCUCUCUUCUUCCCUACUACCAUACAGAUCUUAGUUUCUUCUCAAGAUAAACUUUGAACAAAUAUUUAAAGAGUUGAAGGGGAAGGAGCAAAUUAUUAAUCUGCCUAGGGUAUGAACCUGACUCCAUAUCAGUCCUUAAUCCAACAAACUGUGGCAGAGACUGCCAGUAGCCAAGAAAACCUUGUUCUCUUCUUCCUGGUCACCAGCUAGACAGACUACAUUUCCCAGACUCCCUUGCAGCAAGGCAUGGCCAUGUGACUGAGUUCUAGCCAAUGGCAUGUGAGCAGGAGUGAUAAGUGCUACUUCCAUGUCUGGCCCAUCUAAACAUCUCAGGUGCUCUCCUACAUAUUCUGUUCCCCUUUUGGCUGAAUGAGGAUAAUGCCUGGGUGCCCUUGUAAGCCACAUGUUGUAAUGGCAGAGUCCAUCUAGCCUGGAUUCCUACAGAGCUGAGUGGAAGAGGGUCCCUGGGCUGACCUAUUCACCAGUUCAAAACUCAUAUGUGAAUAAGAAAAAAGCAGCCAUUGCAUUUGAACUCUAAGAAUAUUGGGGUCUGUUUGCUAGAGCAGUACACUGUCUCAUAUAGGAACAAACAUUUGAGCCAGACAGGCAGCCUUUAGUCUUUGUGAUCUAUAAGCCUAGACAGUCUGUUCUUGUUAUUUGUAGCAACUGUGUUUUAUAGUUUCUGUGAAUACUGAAUUAGCAAAUACGGAGCCAUUGCUCAUAGGAGAAAUUCAGGAUUAUCAUCCUGUGAGAAGACACUUCUAUUUAAAGACACCUUAUUUAACUAUGUUAUUGAUUCAUUAACAAUGAACUCACAGCCAACAGUACUAUAACUCAUGCCUGAAGAAACUUAUCUAACACACAUAUUAUUUGCUCUAUAAGGCACAUCAUAGCCUUCUUGUGCUAAGGAACAGCACUUUAGCACUAUGCUUAGGGCCAAUUUUAAACAAUGAAAUUACAAAAAAAAAAAAACCCACAAAAAUGCAAAAAAUGUGGCACUAACUAGACUGGGAAAAGGACACUUGUUUACAGUAUGAGAGCUGAAACAAGAAGCCAGAGCACGGACCUCAGCUGAGAAUGUGUCAAGGGACUAAAGUUUUUUGCCUCUCCGUGAAUAUCCAUGAAUGAUGGCCAAAGGGCCAUGAAUAUUGACUUUGGGGUUUCAACAUGCAAAUGAAGGAAACAAGACUGAGCGGCCUUCUGUCCAGAAAGCAGGAAAUGAAGCCUGUCUGGGACCACAUAUUCCCUUGGGACACGUCGUAGUGUCAGAAAUGGGUUCUGGAAGAAGCUGGCCUUUGUUCAUUUCUGUUUCGUGAGUGAGCUCCUCCUCUUGGCCCUGGCUGGAGGGGUGGCUUCCCACCCACAUUCCCCAGGAGUGUUAAACCAAAGAGAAGCUCAUCAGGACUCCAGUCAGGCUCUGCUAUCUCUAGAGCCGCCAUCAGAAGCGCCCGCCCUCCUCAGCCUUGCUUUCCACUGACAGAAACGUUGACUUUUCCAGAUGAGAUGUUCUGAGCCAACCAGUUGCUCUCACAUGAAGCAGAACCACAGUCAUGAGGAGGCAGCUUAUCCUCGGGCCCUAAGAGGCCGGAGCUGAUGCUGUUGCACUUGGCUGGAUUGAUGUUUAAAUGUCCUCUGCCUCACAGGCAGCCUUCCCUCCGGCCGGAGGGACCCUGGAUCUCUGUAACCUCUGUGAGGGGUAAAGUCUACUGUUAAUCUCACUAACGAGGGGUCUGUUUCACAAACCGGCCAAGCCCUGGUUUCUUCCAAGGAGACAUAACAGUGUUUUCUGCAGAGGGGCCUGUGAUAAGAUAUCUCAGAAAUGGAGUGAUUUAGGGCUAGCCCGGUGGCGCAGCAAAGUUCACACGUUCUGCUUCGGUGGCCUGGGGUUCGCUGGGUUUGGAUCCCAGGUGCAUAGGGCACAGCUUGGCAAGCCAUGCUGUCUCAGGCAUUCCACAUAUAAAAUAGAAGAUGAUGGACACUGAUGUUAGCUCAGGGCCAGGCUUCCUCAGCAAAAAGAGGAGGAUUGGCGGCAGAUGUUACCUCAGGGCCAAUCUUCCUCAAAAAAGAAAAGAAAAAGAAAUGAGGUGAUUUAUAAAAAGGAUGUUAUUUCCUACAGAGUAGGAAGCUGGAAGAUCCUUUUAGAUAUUAUUUACUCAUUAGACAGACCGAUAAAGAAACUAAAGCCCAGAGCAGGGCAGUAGCUGCUGGAGGGCCCAGAGCCACGUGGUAGGAGAGCUGGGAGAGAGGCCUGGGUACUGAGCGAGCUGCUGUGUUUGGGCUGCUCUGCACAUCCCCGUGUUUCUGUAUUCCUCCAUGCUCACGGAGUCUUCCUCAGACUUCAGUCUCCAGAUGUGCCAUAGUUUAAUUUGGGGGUCCUCAAGUCAAAAUUUCAAGAACUGAAGAAUACGGAUCAUGAGACCUGCUGAAUAACAUCGAAGGAACUUCUGAACACGCCACCAUUUAAGCGGAGAGGGUCCCUCCCUUCCGCUGCAAUCAGGCUAUUACAGGCUCGCUCUGCCUCUUACCCGCUGGGCGCAGGCCAAGCCCAGAGCCCGGAGCUCCUACUAUGACUUGGCCGAGCAGCAAGCUAUUCAUCCACACGUCCAAGGCCACUUUUGUGCGAACAGCUUCGCAUCACCUGCCCCUGGAGACUUCGGAUCACCCCUCUGCUCCCCCGCCCUCCCCUGCUCCAGCCCCUCUCUGGCUGUGCAGGAGCCAAAGGGGAUUUGUGAUAACAGAGUCACAGGCACAGGCCCAACCCAGGCCCGAGGAGCUUGACCUGAGGCAAGAGCAUAGCCCAGAACAACACACGCCACUCCCCAGCAAGGAGGGGUGGCCUGGCACUCAAAUCGAAAACUCCUGGGCUUUUGAUGGAAGCCAUAAAACAAAGGUAGUAUUCCAGAAGGAAUCUCAGAUCCUUGUUCAUACUGGAGCCCAAGUGACCAUCAAAACAAGAGGCUGCUUCUCCAUAGGCAGUUCCGAGGAUCAAGGUUCCUGUUAAUUCUGGAUUUGGAAAAACAUACCUGGGAAGGAGGCAGGCACUCCCACUGCAUUACCUCUGAGAAAGACACAGCCACAGGAUUCUCGUCCAUCUGAUUCCAGUAGCAUCUACCACUCGUUCUGCUCAUCUGUUACUAAAGUUAAAUUAAAUAGUUUAUGGAGUACUCACUAUGUGGAAGGCUUUACGCUGAUCAUAAUCCUAUAGUGCCUUGAUUAAUUUUUCCAGAUUGUUCAUCUCUAUUCGCAGAUCCACCAAACCAGACGAUGUUGCUGGCAGAAAAAUGUGCACGCUCUGGUGUUUGUGCAAGAAUGAGAAGACCUCUGUGGCGCAGUGGCAGGAGCCUGCAAAUAACGUCCACUGUGGUGGAUUUGGGAUUGUCCAGAAUGUGACUGUGUAAGGCUGGGAUUGGAAGCCCGUUCUGAAUAUGUGCCUGAGUACCACGUCAGUUCAGCCGUGCUGAGCCUGAGCGAGGCGUCCUCCCUCACAAGCUUCCCAGGACCCCUUGGCUGUGCACACAAAGAGAAGCCGGCUUUUCUUGUUUGCGCCUUUGCUCCUUCCUAUUUGAUUGAAUUUGAAGAGGAACUGUUUGCCUUUGGCUGCACAUCCUGAAUCAUAAUCAGGAUGCUGCUGGCACAGAAAACCUGCUCCCACCCUUGCCUGAAAUAACUGAACAGGGAAGUCGAGAUCCUCCCCUCUCCAAACUUAAAGAAAGAGGCUCAUAAUUUAUGGAGUGCUGGCAAAGCAUCAAAAGUCAAUCCAGUCACUUACAGUAAAAUCAAGGAGGGCGGAACAAUGAAUAUAAAGUGAGAUUCAAACACCUCAUUAAGGGAACAAAGUGUCCAGUUGACACCAGAAUACUGAUGCUUACAUAUUUGUAAGCCAGAGUCCAGUGGCCUUCUGAGAGACUUCCUUGUCCGCGGGAUAUGAAAGGUAUAAAGCCACACCCUCAGCUUUUUCAGUCCUUCAACAAAUAUGCUUUGCUGAAACCAUCUAUCAAGCAUGGUGCUACUAAGGUAUAUUGGUUUCUUAGGGCUGCUGACACAAAUUACUAUAAACUUGGUGGCUUAAAGCAACAUAAAUUUAUUCCCUCAUAGUUCCAGAGGCCAGAAGUCUGAAGUCAAGGUGUUGGGAGGGCCAGACUCCCUCUGAAGCCUCUAGAGAACUUGCCUCAUUUCUUCCAGCUUCUGGUGGCUCCAGAUAUUUCUUGGCUUGUGGCUGCAUCACUCCUGUCUCUGCCUCUGGCUUGGCGUGACCUCCUCCUCCCUGAGUGUCUGUCUUCGGUGUGUCUCUGAGAAGGGUACUUGUCAUUGGAUUUAGGGCCCACUUGGACAAUCCAGGCUGAUCUCAUCUGGAGAUCCAUAAUUUAAUUGCAUUUGUGAAGACCCUUUUUCCAAAUAUGAUCACAUUCCUAAGUACUAGGGGUUAGGACUUGGUCAUAUCUUUUUGGGUGCCACCGUUCAAGAUCCAGAGGGUAGAAAGUUGAAAAGGACAGGGUUGUUGUUCUCAAGGAGUUCAGGCUAGUAGGGGAGACAAAUAGUUAAAUAACUAUAUCGAAAGAAUAACCGCAUCCAAAGCUGCGUUCCAGGUGCUGAGGGAUCUUAGAAGAGAUUGUACUGGGAACUGAUGCCGAGGUUGUGGUGGGGCAGAGGUAGGGUGUGUGUUUUUUUUUUAACCUUUGAACUCUACAAUUUCCUGGCAUCUAGAAAUCACUAUAGAACGUCAUCAGGUUGAAAAGACAAGUCCAGUUUGAAUAGUGAGGAUUAACACCGGCCCGGCCAGAUCUGUUGGGUCUGGCUGAGUUCAGCUAACCCUUUUGGUUGCCUCGAGGUUUUGGAGAGUCGGCAGGAAAAGGCGAGAAAGCCGAAGCCCAUGAAUUGGUUGAGAUUUUUGAUGGCUAUAUUUCUGAGAGGUGAAGAGCUGGAUGCCAUGAAAUGGGUCAUUGGCUUUCUCUGUGGCAGAGAAUGGGGAAGAGGACCGCUUGCAUCUGCCAUCCAUCCCAGGUCGGAGCGUGUGUGCCCCUGCAGGGCCACCUCGGGCCAAGGCUGUUGCCCCACUGAGAUCUCCUCCUCUGCUCCAAGGCCUUGGGCCGGAUGUUCUGUCUGAGCCUGGUGUGGUGGGGGAAGGCAGCUACUGCCCCAAGACAUGCUAGAGAGAAGAGACAGAACUGUUACUCACUUCUUUUUUGGGACAGCAUUUUUACAAGCUUUGCAGAACAUCACCUGCAGCUUUUUACAUUCUCCUGGGACUUUACCUUCUUUAUGAUUGUUUAUUAUAUUAAAAAGGUUCUUGAUAAUGGCUAUUAUGGAAUUAUUGUUAAUGUUCUUGUGCGUAAUAUGCUUGUUGUGAAAAAUGUCUUUAUUCCUUUUUUUUUUUAAAGAUUCACCCUGAGCUAACAUCUGUUGCCAGUCUUCCUCUUCUUCUUUUUCCUUCCCCAAAGCCCCAGUGCAUGGUUGUAUAUCCUAGUUGUAAGUUCUGGUUCUUCUAUGUGAGCUGCCGCCACAACAUGGCAACUGUCAGAAGCGUAGUGCGGUUCUGAGACCAGGAAGGGAACCCGGGCCACUGAAGAGGUGAGAGCACUGAACUUUAACCACCAGGCCAUCAGGGCUGGCUCAGACGUCUUUAUUCUUAAGGAGCGCAUGCGGAAGUGUUUAUGGGUGAUAUGUGAUAAUGUCUACAAUUUUCAAACACUUCAGUGACAAUAUGGGCACAUAAACCUAAUAACACAAAAAUGUUAAGAAUUGCUAGGUCUAGGCAGAAAGUAUAUGGAUGUUCAUUGCUCUAUUCUUUCACCUUUUCUCUAUGCUUGAAAUUAUUCAUAAUAAAAAACUUGGGAUAGAUUUGGAGAAGAAAAUUCUUGAAACAGAGUUUGUUGACCUGUGUUUCAUGGGCUCUGGCGGGAGAGGUGGAUGGGUGUCGGGGACCAGGAAGCUUCUAAAUUUACAUGUAAACUUUUGUGCUGUGUGUGUGUAUGUGUGUGUGUGUAUGUGUGUGUGUGUGUGUGUGUUUCUUCCCUCUUUGUGGGGAGGGAUUUAUUGUUUGUGCUUCUCCUCUCAUUCUCAAAUGAGUCUAUGACUGCCCCCCACAAGGUUAAACAUCCUUGCUUAAAGCUUGAGAUAAAUUUGCAUGCAUUAUACUUUUUGUAAAUGGAUGCAAACAGAGGAGCAGAGUCUGUUGCUUAUGUAUCAUUAGUAUUUUGUUGCAAAAUUUAAAUUAGAUUAUAAAACUAAAUUGGAUUCUACUUUCCCAUUAUCUUCAUUACUGGUUUCUUGAUUUUUCUUAAUUAAUUCUUUUCCUAUCAUAGUUGAAUUCUUAUACUCUUUUACAAGUUUAAAAUAUUGGUUGCUAACAUGAACAAAUCUGUUUUCCUUUGCACUAAUUUAAAACUGAAAUAAUAAUUUUGGUAUCCCUUUCUAGGUUGUAAAAAUAACACAGACUCACUGUAUACAACUUGUAAAAUACAGAAGUGUAUAAAGAAGGAAAUAAAAUUACCAUUAACCCGUGCUCCAGAGGCUGGGCCCAUGGUAUGGAAGGUAUCAAUAAAUCCUUGUCGGUGACUUACUUGGAAUGAAUGUCCAGAAAAUGCUCAAGAAUAUCUAAGGAUCCAAAAAGGAGCGACAGAAUAAUUGAAUAUAUAAUUACUGCUUUCUUUGAUAUCUAUGUUUACAAGCUUUCUUUGAACUGGUGGUAUUAUCUGCCUAGAAAGUACCAGAGUUUAUUAACCAUUUUCACAUUUUCUCUCUGACUCCUCCGUCUAACCCUCACUAUCCAUUCCCCCAACACUCAAAAUUUAUUGUAAAAAGGUGUCCUUUGAAAGGCUUUUUAAAAGAAAUGUGAUUAUCUACAGCUCAGUGUCACUUUUAAAGUUGUCCCUUGAUACUUUCUGGAGGCUGCAAAAUAUAUUUAAUUUCCAAACAUUCUUGAAAGUCAUCCAAUAAAUUCAGGCAGGGAGGGAAUGGCCAGGGUACAGGGUGUGCGAGGGACCGCACUGUGAGUUGGCCGGUAUCAUUUAUUAUAAGCAAUCCGGCAGGUGCGUAAAUAACUCCUACCAGGAGGUUUUCCGCUCAGCUUCCCAAAAUGGCUCCAUUUCAACAUCCAGCAGUGACGCUGUAUUCUCAGAAUUGGAUUAGCCAAGGCCUGGGCAAGGUAAAAUCCACUGGAAUGAACCAAAGGAAAGGUUUGCUCCUACAUCAACAGCAUGAGUAUGAAAUAGACUUUUGUUUAUUAAAAAUGGUAGGAUUCAUCACCUAAUUGAAAAAUCCAAUUCUUUGAAGGGCAGAUGUACAUUUCAUAUUAUAUGGUUCAGUCCUAUAGAUUUAGGUUUUGAGCACUUAUUAAGUCUAAGACAUCGUGCUGGGUGCCAUGGAGGAUAAAGAGAUAAGCAAGACCUGGCCUUGGCUUUGGGAGUUCACACACUUGUUGGGAGGCAGACGUAUAUAUCAUCUUAUCACAGGAGAGAUUGAAAAAUUAGAAACGCAAGCAAAAUGCUGUUGGGUUAGAGAGGAAAACUUGGAGAUGUCUCUUGGUUGAGGAGGAAUUCAAACUAGGCAUUCUUCCAUUCAUUUAUUACUCAGACAAUUGUGGAAUGCCAAACUGGUUUCAUACACUAUACCAUGAACACUCAGAGAGGGCCAAUUGUAGUUGUUUAAUUAUUUACAGAAGAAUAAAGUUCAACAGGCAGAAAAGGGAAGGGAGGGCAUUCCAGGGAGUAGGAAUUGAGUUGAGGCCUUGAGGCUGCAUGGCAUGCCCAAGAAACAGGGAGGACACAGGUGUGGCUCUGACCCAGGAGGUGUGUGUGCGAGUGGGGGAUGGUGGGGGCUGGAGUGAAGGUAAAGAUGGAAGAUAAUCAGAGCAAAACUGCAGAG
rnacentral:lncRNA from 1 species